CCAGACUCCUACGGGAGGCAGCAGUGAGGAAUAUUGGUCAAUGGGCUUACGCCUGAACCAGCCAAGUCGCGUGAGGGAAGACUGCCCUAUGGGUUGUAAACCUCUUUUGUCAGGGAGCAAUUGGCGCUACGUGUAGCGUUAUCGAGAGUACCUGAAGAAAAAGCAUCGGCUAACUACGUGCCAGCAGCCGCGGUAAUACGUAGGUGGCAAGCGUUGUCCGGAAUUACUGGGUGUAAAGGGAGCGCAGGCGGGAAGCCAAGUCAGCUGUGAAAACUACGGGCUUAACUUGUAGACUGCAGUUGAAACUGGUUUUCUUGAGUGCUGGAGAGGCAAUCGGAAUUCCGUGUGUAGCAGUGAAAUGCGUAGAUAUACGGAGGAACACCAGUGGCGAAGGCGGAUUGCUGGACAGUAACUGACGCUGAGGCGCGAAAGCGUGGGGAGCAAACAGGAUUAGAUACCCGAGUA
rnacentral:rRNA from 1 species